rnacentral:tRNA from 1 species
AAGCCUUAGUAAAUAUUUACUCCUUCAGAAUUGCAGUCUAAUGUCAUUAUUGACUAUAAGGCC